rnacentral:rRNA from 1 species
CAAUAAGCGGAGGAAAAGAAACCAACAGGGAUUGCCUCAGUAACGGCGAGUGAAGCGGCAACAGCUCAAAUUUGUAAUCUGGCUCCUUCGGGGUCCGAGUUGUAAUUUGUAGAGGAUGUUUCGGGUGCGGCGCCGGUCGAAGUCCCUUGGAACAGGGUGUCACAGAGGGUGAGAAUCCCGUACGUGGCCGGCAACCAAGCCCAUGUGAAACUCCUUCGACGAGUCGAGUUGUUUGGGAAUGCAGCUCAAAAUGGGUGGUAAAUUUCAUCUAAAGCUAAAUACCGGCCAGAGACCGAUAGCGCACAAGUAGAGUGAUCGAAAGAUGAAAAGCACUUUGGAAAGAGAGUUAAAAAGUACGUGAAAUUGUUGAAAGGGAAGCGCUUGCGACCAGACCUGCCCGUGGGUGCUCAGCGGUGGUUCUCCGCCGUGCACUCGCCCACGAUCAGGCCAGCAUCAGUUCUGGCGACCGGAUAAAGGCCCGAGGAAUGUGGCUCCUCUCGGGGAGUGUUAUAGCCUCGGGUGUCAUACGGCCAGCCGGGACUGAGGACCGCGCUUCGGCAAGGAUGCUGGCAUAAUGGUCGUAAGCGACCCGUCUUGAAACACGGACCAAGGAGUCUAACAUCUAUGCAAGUGUUUGGGUGUCAAACCCAUGCGCGCAAUGAAAGUGAACGAUGGUCAGAGCCCUCUGGGUGCAUGAUCGACCGAUCUUGAAGUUUACGGAUGGAUUUGAGUAUGAGCAUAGCUGUUGGGACCCGAAAGAUGGUGAACUAUGCCUGAAUAGGGUGAAGCCAGAGGAAACUCUGGUGGAGGCUCGCAGCGGUUCUGACGUGCAAAUCGAUCGUCAAAUUUGGGUAUAGGGGCGAAAGACUAAUCGAACCAUUGAAAACAAGCUACACUAGGUGGUUAAUUGGGGUCCGCGGACCGUCAGCCUUUCGAGGCGACGACUGCUAAAUGCAUGGUGUUGAUUCAACAUGCAGCGGGCGCUUUGUCGCCCGCAACUACACUGACCAAACAGCAUCGGCCGCGUGGGCAUUGCGCCCCCGGUUUUGCACACAUGGCCGAGUCCCUCCUGGCGGAGGGUAUGAACGCUAGUAGCUGGUUCCUGCCGAAGUUUCCCUCAGGAUAGCAGUAACGUAUUCAGUUUUAUGAGGUAAAGCGAAUGAUUAGGAGCCUAGGGGAUGUAACAUCCUUUACUCAUUCUCAAACUUUAAAUAUGUAAGAAGUCCUUGUUACUUAAUUGAACGUGGACAUUCGAAUGUACCGUUACUAGUGGGCCAUUUUUGGUAAGCAGAACUGGCGAUGCGGGAUGAACCGAACGUGGGGUUAAGGUGCCGGAAUGCACGCUCAUCAGACACCAAGGAAAUCUUUUGUGGUGUCGGCGUGCCCCCGAGAGCUCCGUCUCCACCGGGGGAGGAGUCCUCACGUCAGAGGGCCAGGCUUUCGAUCGCAUGGGGACCGUGCUUGCCACCAAGCUUACCCUCAGCCACCGCGUUGUGGCCCACAGAUCCACAAGCGAAGGCCGGCAGCUGCUACUGUAGUUGCUUGAGAUAUGAUCGGCCUCCCCGGACGUAAGUCCUCGGAAAUCAAGUGCAAAAGGUGUUGAUUCAUCUAGACAGCCGGACGGUGGCCAUGGAAGUCGGAAUCCGCUAAGGAGUGUGUAACCCA